GGGUUGUGAGGUUAAGCGACUAAGCGUACACGGUGGAUGCCCUGGCAGUCAGAGGCGAUGAAGGACGUGCUAAUCUGCGAAAAGCGUCGGUAAGGUGAUAUGAACCGUUAUAACCGGCGAUGUCCGAAUGGGGAAACCCAGUGCAAUUCGUUGCACUAUCGUUAACUGAAUACAUAGGUUAACGAGGCGAACCGGGGGAACUGAAACAUCUAAGUACCCCGAGGAAAAGAAAUCAACCGAGAUUCCCCCAGUAGCGGCGAGCGAACGGGGAGCAGCCCAGAGUCUGAAUCAGCUUGUGUGUUAGUGGAACGGUCUGGAAAGUCCGACGGUACAGGGUGAUAGUCCCGUACACCAAAAUGCACAGGUUGUGAACUCGAAGAGUAGGGCGGGACACGUGGUAUCCUGUCUGAAUAUGGGGGGACCAUCCUCCAAGGCUAAAUACUCCUGACUGACCGAUAGUGAACCAGUACCGUGAGGGAAAGGCGAAAAGAACCCCGGCGAGGGGAGUGAAAAAGAACCUGAAACCGUGUACGUACAAGCAGUGGGAGCACCUUCGGGUGUGACUGCGUACCUUUUGUAUAAUGGGUCAGCGACUUAUAUUCUGUAGCAAGGUUAACCGUAUAGGGGAGCCGCAGGGAAACCGAGUCUUAACUGGGCGUUAAGUUGCAGGGUAUAGACCCGAAACCCGGUGAUCUAGCCAUGGGCAGGUUGAAGGUUGGGUAACACUAACUGGAGGACCGAACCGACUAAUGUUGAAAAAUUAGCGGAUGACUUGUGGCUGGGGGUGAAAGGCCAAUCAAACCGGGAGAUAGCUGGUUCUCCCCGAAAGCUAUUUAGGUAGCGCCUCGUGAAUUCAUCUUCGGGGGUAGAGCACUGUUUCGGCUAGGGGGUCAUCCCGACUUACCAACCCGAUGCAAACUACGAAUACCGAAGAAUGUUAUCACGGGAGACACACGGCGGGUGCUAACGUCCGUCGUGAAGAGGGAAACAACCCAGACCGCCAGCUAAGGUCCCAAAGUCAUGGUUAAGUGGGAAACGAUGUGGGAAGGCACAGACAGCCAGGAUGUUGGCUUAGAAGCAGCCAUCAUUUAAAGAAAGCGUAAUAGCUCACUGGUCGAGUCGGCCUGCGCGGAAGAUGUAACGGGGCUAAACCAUGCACCGAAGCUGCGGCAGCGACACUAUGUGUUGUUGGGUAGGGGAGCGUUCUGUAAGCCUGCGAAGGUGACCUGUGAGGGUUGCUGGAGGUAUCAGAAGUGCGAAUGCUGACAUAAGUAACGAUAAAGCGGGUGAAAAGCCCGCUCGCCGGAAGACCAAGGGUUCCUGUCCAACGUUAAUCGGGGCAGGGUGAGUCGACCCCUAAGGCGAGGCCGAAAGGCGUAGUCGAUGGGAAACAGGUUAAUAUUCCUGUACUUGGUGUUACUGCGAAGGGGGGACGGAGAAGGCUAUGUUAGCCGGGCGACGGUUGUCCCGGUUUAAGCAUGUAGGCUGAUUGUCCAGGCAAAUCCGGAUAAUCAAGGCUGAGGUGUGAUGACGAGGCACUACGGUGCUGAAGUAACAAAUGCCCUGCUUCCAGGAAAAGCCUCUAAGCAUCAGGUAACAUCAAAUCGUACCCCAAACCGACACAGGUGGUCAGGUAGAGAAUACCAAGGCGCUUGAGAGAACUCGGGUGAAGGAACUAGGCAAAAUGGUGCCGUAACUUCGGGAGAAGGCACGCUGGUGUGUAGGUGAAGCCCCUGCGGGUGGAGCUGAGACCAGUCGAAGAUACCAGCUGGCUGCAACUGUUUAUUAAAAACACAGCACUGUGCAAACACGAAAGUGGACGUAUACGGUGUGACGCCUGCCCGGUGCCGGAAGGUUAAUUGAUGGGGUUAUCCGUAAGGAGAAGCUCUUGAUCGAAGCCCCGGUAAACGGCGGCCGUAACUAUAACGGUCCUAAGGUAGCGAAAUUCCUUGUCGGGUAAGUUCCGACCUGCACGAAUGGCGUAAUGAUGGCCAGGCUGUCUCCACCCGAGACUCAGUGAAAUUGAACUCGCUGUGAAGAUGCAGUGUACCCGCGGCAAGACGGAAAGACCCCGUGAACCUUUACUAUAGCUUGACACUGAACAUUGAGCCUUGAUGUGUAGGAUAGGUGGGAGGCUUUGAAGCGUGGACGCCAGUCUGCGUGGAGCCAACCUUGAAAUACCACCCUUUAAUGUUUGAUGUUCUAACGUUGGCCCCUUACCGGGGUUGCGGACAGUGUCUGGUGGGUAGUUUGACUGGGGCGGUCUCCUCCCAAAGCGUAACGGAGGAGCACGAAGGUUAGCUAAUCCUGGUCGGACAUCAGGAGGUUAGUGCAAUGGCAUAAGCUAGCUUGACUGCGAGCGUGACGGCGCGAGCAGGUGCGAAAGCAGGUCAUAGUGAUCCGGUGGUUCUGAAUGGAAGGGCCAUCGCUCAACGGAUAAAAGGUACUCCGGGGAUAACAGGCUGAUACCGCCCAAGAGUUCAUAUCGACGGCGGUGUUUGGCACCUCGAUGUCGGCUCAUCACAUCCUGGGGCUGAAGUAGGUCCCAAGGGUAUGGCUGUUCGCCAUUUAAAGUGGUACGCGAGCUGGGUUUAGAACGUCGUGAGACAGUUCGGUCCCUAUCUGCCGUGGGCGCUGGAGAAUUGAGGGGGGCUGCUCCUAGUACGAGAGGACCGGAGUGGACGCAUCACUGGUGUUCGGGUUGUCAUGCCAAUGGCACUGCCCGGUAGCUAAAUGCGGAAGAGAUAAGUGCUGAAAGCAUCUAAGCACGAAACUUGCCCCGAGAUGAGUUCUCCCUGAGACUUUAAGUCUCCUGAAGGAACGUUGAAGACGACGACGUUGAUAGGCCGGGUGUGUAAGCGCAGCGAUGCGUUGAGCUAACCGGUACUAAUGAACCGUGAGGCUUAACCUUACAACGCCGAAG
rnacentral:rRNA from 2 species